rnacentral:rRNA from 1 species
AUUGAACGCUGGCGGCAUGCCUCACACAUGCAAGUCGAACGGUAACGGGUCCUUCGGGAUGCCGACGAGUGGCGAACGGGUGAGUAAUAUAUCGGAACGUGCCCAGUAGUGGGGGAUAACUGCUCGAAAGAGCAGCUAAUACCGCAUACGACCUGAGGGUGAAAGGGGGGGAUCGCGAGACCUCUCGCUAUUGGAGCGGCCGAUAUCAGAUUAGCUAGUUGGUGGGGUAAAGGCCGACCAAGGCAACGAUCUGUAGUUGGUCUGAGAGGACGACCAGCCACACUGGGACUGAGACACGGCCCAGACUCCUACGGGAGGCAGCAGUGGGGAAUUUUGGACAAUGGGCGCAAGCCUGAUCCAGCAAUGCCGCGUGCAGGAAGAAGGCCUUCGGGUUGUAAACUGCUUUUGUCAGGGAAGAAAUCUUCUGGGCUAAUACCCCGGGAGGAUGACGGUACCUGAAGAAUAAGCACCGGCUAACUACGUGCCAGCCGCCGCGGUAAGAC